AUUGUUGAAAAAAGAGCUCCUUAGAAUGGUAGAAGAUUCACUCGAUCCUCUUCGGUUUGCUUAGAGGGCCAGUCGUGGGGUAGAGGAUGCUACGGCCACCUUGUUGAAUUUGGUACUUAAGCAUUUAGAGGGAACUAAGACUCAUGCUAGAAUUGUAUUCGUUGAUUUCUCAUCCGCUUUUAAUACGAUUCAACCUCACAUUUUAGUAGAGAAAUUAACUUUUGAGCUUUGGUUUUGAUUUUUGUAUCAUUGGUUGGAUCCUUGACUUUCUAACUGAUCGAAUUCAGAGAGUAAGGGUAAAUGGGUGUUUGUCUGAGGUACUGUCUU